rnacentral:rRNA from 1 species
UACGGAGGAUCCAAGCGUUAUCCGGAUUCAUUGGGUUUAAAGGGUGCGUAGGCGGAAUGAUAAGUCAGUGGUGAAAUCUCGGAGCUUAACUCCGAAACUGCCAUUGAUACUGUCAAUCUUGAGUACAUUUGAUGUGGGCGGAAUGUGUCAUGUAGCGGUGAAAUGCUUAGAUAUGACACAGAACACCGAUUGCGAAGGCAGCUCACAAAACUGUAACUGACGCUGAGGCACGAAGGCGUGGGUAGUCAAACAGGA